rnacentral:lncRNA from 1 species
UUUUAUUUUAAUCAAUAUUCGACUUUCGUAAACAACUUUCAAUAAUAAUUUGAACGAAAAGGGAAUAGGAGGCGUUCGCCUUACUAUUCCUCGAAUAAUUGAACGAUUGACGUGUGCCAUAUUGCUCAAUUUUUUUAUCGUUCCUUCAAAAUACCAAAUACACUAAACUUAAUAUCUCUCCCCUGUGCGACCAACAACUUAACUCUUUUCAGAAAGAACAUUGUUCAAUCCUCUCUGACGCGCAUAACAA